CGAAAGCCUGACGGAGCAAGACCGCGUGAGGGAGGAAGGCUCUUGGGUUGUAAACCCCUUUUCUCAGGGAAGAAGUUCUGACGGUACCUGAGGAAUCAGCAUCGGCUAACUCCGUGCCAGCAGCCGCGGUAAGACGGAGGAUGCAAGCGUUAUCCGGAAUUAUUGGGCGUAAAGCGUCCGCAGGUGGCGAUUCAAGUCUGCUGUCAAAGCACGGGGCUUAACUCCGUUAAGGCAGUGGAAACUGAAUGGCUAGAGUGCCGUAGGGGUAGAGGGAAUUCCCGGUGUAGCGGUGAAAUGCGUAGAGAUCGGGAAGAACAUCGGUGGCGAAAGCGCUCUACUGGGCCGCGACUGACGCUGAGGGACGAAAGCUAGGGGAGCG
rnacentral:rRNA from 1 species